GGCUCAGGAUGAACGCUGGCGGCGUGCUUAACACAUGCAAGUCGAACGAUGAAGCCAGCUUGCUGGUGGAUUAGUGGCGAACGGGUGAGUAACACGUGAGUAACCUGCCCUUGACUCUGGGAUAAGCCUGGGAAACCGGGUCUAAUACUGGAUACGACCUUCCCACGCAUGUGGUGUUGGUGGAAAGCUUUUGUGGUUUUGGAUGGACUCGCGGCCUAUCAGCUUGUUGGUGGGGUAAUGGCCUACCAAGGCGACGACGGGUAGCCGGCCUGAGAGGGUGACCGGCCACACUGGGACUGAGACACGGCCCAGACUCCUACGGGAGGCAGCAGUGGGGAAUAUUGCACAAUGGGCGCAAGCCUGAUGCAGCGACGCCGCGUGAGGGAUGAAGGCCUUCGGGUUGUAAACCUCUUUCAGUAGGGAA
rnacentral:rRNA from 1 species